UGAGCAAAAACAGCAAGCUCUUUGCUUAAAGACAGGAACUACUUCUUUCCCAGAGCAUUCCAAUACAUAUGGAUUCUCUCAGUUGAUGCUGCAUAGCCAUGUUCUUGUACAGAAGAAUAUAAUAUAGUCAGCUGAAUCUCAUUUUAUUUAAAAUUGGUGGUCUAAUAUCUUGAACACAUUUUUAUAUAUAUUGACCUCUAUUACAGUGAUUGACCCUAACUUGAAAUAUAUGCACUAUAAAGACAAGUUUGACAUUUAAGGACUCUCAGCUACUUGUUUCCAUUAAAACGUGGUGAACUGUACAGUCAUUCUUCAUCUAAACAAGUUGGGAAGAUAAGGACAAACAGAGCUACAGUAUGAGCUCUGAAAACUCCCAAUAUGCCACAUUGCAAUACUAUCCUGAUCAUCGCAUUCAGCGGUUUAUAGAUCAGUCUUCCCGCUGUCGUGGGCAGAAACCCUGUUUUCAUUCCACUAUGUCCCAAUCCUCUCAAACUAGUGAACUAUUGAGCCAGGAUGUACUUAACCAGUUACUGGAAAUGCUU